rnacentral:rRNA from 1 species
UACCAGCACCCCGAGUGGUCGGGACGUUUUAUUGGGCCUAAAGCAUCCGUAGCCGGUUCUACAAGUCUUCCGUUAAAUCCAGCUGCUUAACAGAUGGGCUGCGGAAGAUACUAUGGAGCUAGGAGGCGGGAGAGGCAAGCGGUACUCGAUGGGUAGGGGUAAAAUCCGUUGAUCCAUUGAAGACCACCAGUGGCGAAGGCGGCUUGCCAGAACGCGCUCGACGGUGAGGGAUGAAAGCUGGGGGAGCAAACCGG